rnacentral:piRNA from 1 species
UGAAAAUAGGUGUAUUCCAGGGUGAGGUA